AUUUACCUGCUGGAGGCGAAUGUUCGCGGGCUAGAGAGCGGGACCAACAAGGAUUUUCACCGGGAGACAUUACCCUUCAUCAGUGGAUGAUAAGCAUCGAGGGUGAAAUUGUUUGUGAGGGCAUUCAACCUACGUUCCAGGCUGGUCUCGCAGCACUUUUUGCCACCUUCUACGGUUUUAACCUUGAGUAUCCAGAGGAGGCAGCAUGCACACUGGAGUUUUUUCAAAGGUGAUUCACAGGCCUCAACCCUGAAAGGGGAACAAAAGCUGCAAAAGGAAAAGUAACAUCAAUAACGACUCGUGCAAAAGAAAAAGACAGCAGUGAACAAACAUGUCUCCACUCUCCUCUGCAAGUUCAUGGACUACCAGAGGAACUUCUAAAAUGCCACCCUUUGAUGAGGCGUUCAGGACUAAGCCCCACUCAGCACUCAUUCAUGUUGGUUUGGUUUGGCUGUUCACUAAGUUUUAAACUAGCUCAAAUGUUAAAGAUUUUACUGUUAGGGUUC